ACCCACUCGAGUUUGAAGUCAAGUUGCGCCCGAAGCCUUAGGCCGAGGGCACGUCUGCCUGGGCGUCACGC
rnacentral:rRNA from 1 species